GCCCAGUUUAUUUUUUUAUUAUUAUUUUUUUGCAUUCUCAACUAAUUCUAAGCCCCCUGGGGUAGGAGCCGUGCCUCAUCACCUCUCCUUCCAAAGCGCCUGUGGGUAAAUGACAGGAGCUCUCUGUGUGUCUCCCGAACUUGUCUUCAUCCUUGCUUCAUUUUCUUUCUUUUUCAAGAUGGCAAGAGAAGGCAGGCUCCUCAGUUCCCCACGAACUCUUCAGGGGUUUCUGCGGCCCAGACCUUUCCCCAGCUCUCUUUAGUCACCUCUGUGUAUCCCAGAGUGGACUUGGGGGAGCCAGCGCUUAGGGCUGGCCACUACCUUCCCGUCAUUCUCUCUCUGCGGCCAGCAUAUUUUAGCCUGUGAGAAACACCGAGCCGCUGCCUGAGGCCCUUCCAGAACACUCAGCCCUGGUGUUGCCGCUGGCUGCAAUUGGCAUCAUUGAGAGGCACCUGCCGGGUUUUUGAAUCAGUGGUGUAAGGGUGGCCACACACCACCUCUCAUGGUCAGAAAAGAAUGCAGACUUGGGCUGUAGGGGGCUGUCCUCCCGGCAGGUGGAGAAUGAGAUCGACUCCCCAGGAAAGCAAAGACAGUCAGCUCAGGGGCUGAUGGAGGGGCAGACAGCUCUGGGCACUGGGAACCCCCCUUCCAGUGUGCGAGGUCCUGGCUCCCAGCCCGCUGAGCUUCCUGGAGUGUCGUUCAACUCCAGGUCAUGUUCGGCCCCCCAUCGAUACGGCACCAGCUUGCUGCCACUGGGGUCUUUAUGUCCAACAUGGUCCCUCAGGGCUUGCUGUCCUCCCCUGCAGAGUGAAAUCCUGGACCUGUCAUCUCCAUGUUCCCCUGCAGUGGAAGCUGCGAUUCUGCUGUGAGCCCUCUCUCACUGGAGAAGCGGCUUGGUGUGGGCCCUUGAGGAGUAAUCCGUGUGCUGAGCCGUGAAGCUUCUUGUCCCUCUAGGAACCCCUGUUGCUCCGGCAAGGUGGCUGUCAGGCAGGUCCACUGAGUGCCCUGAGGAGCGCAGUUUCUCUCUUUGUUCCUGCGGGGCCAGGGUCUGUUCUCGCAGAUGGGCUUCGGCCCAGAGGUGAGUUGGCUGGAAAGGAGCCCUGAGAGAGGGCAGCCCCUCUCGCCUUCCCUAGCUCUGAAAACACUCAGCUCUGCACAGCUGUCAAAGCAAGAGGCACGGCUAAGCCCACAAGGCUCCAGCCACUUAAUGAGGCCUUUAGCCAUCUCUUCCCCUGGCCUCUGAGAGUGUAAACCACAGGUGGGGAGGAGGCCCUGGGGCACUUGUUUCUUCAUCUGAAAGACACGGAAGGUGUUUUCUUGCACCUUGUGGUGGAUCACGGGUGGCUGUUGGUUACAGGCAGCUCUGCAGUGUGGCUGAGAGGCUGGGCUGCUGCUGGGUGAGGCUGGGCUGCUGCUGGGUGAGGCUGGGCUGCUGCUGGGCGUGAAACUUCAAAUCCUGAUCACUGGGCCCUGCGUACCUGUGUUAUCCUGGACAAAGGGGCCUUCUUGGCAUCAGAUUCCUGCCCCAUGGGUGGGAAUGGUUGCUGACCUCACCUCGAAGGGCUGCAGAGAGUCUAAGAUAGGGUCACGCAUGCCCAAGGUGCAGUGCAGAGGCCUCAGGCCACACACAGCAAGGGCAGCCAUUGCCGCUCACCCCGCCCUAAUCAUCACAUUCACGUGGUACAUGAGAACAGCCAGCUGCUUCUCGAGUUCUAACCAGGCCCCCCAAACUUCUCUACCUCCAAGGACACACAGACCAUGAUGAACUUUGUCUGGCUCAUGGAGUUGGGAGGAUGAGGCUGCUGGAAGCCUCUGAGACAGCCUGGGGGCUCCGACUGGCCCCACCCACCAGGCUGCCUUGAGCACCCAGCAGGGGCACAGGUUUGACAGUUUUCCUUCCAGCUGUAACUCCAGUCUGAGAUCUGACAAAAAGCAGGUAUCCAUCCAUCCAUCCAUCCAUCCAUCCAUCCAUCCAUCCAUCCGACAAAUGAUAUGGAACACAACUGCUAUUCAUCUGCCAGCUUCCUUCAUUAUAAAAGUUGCAAUAGAGUGGGGGUGACAGAAAAUGAGCAAGGGGAAAAUAAGCACAUUUGUGACCGAAGAGGGAGCAGUGGGGCUGGGUUACACCUGGGGCCUGGACGCUCCACUCUGGUGGUUAGUGGAAGUCUCCCUGCAAGGUGGACUUCAGACCAGGCUGAAGGAGAGGAAUCCAGAGAACACCCGAGGAGCCAGUGAGACCAAUGGCAGCAGCCGUGAUUGAUUUGGCAGUGAUUGGGUGCCUGGCACCGCCCAGGGGUUUUGAACCCACAUCCCUCAUUUCAUGUCACACUCUGCUGGCCUGUGGCUGUCUCUACUCUCUGCAGUGGGCCUCUGAGGCUGAGGAGGUCAUAGGACCCCGUCAGUCACUGGGGGAAGCAUGGUCCCUAGCACGGCUGCCUGACUCUGAGGCUGUGCUUGGAGUGGACCUCAGGGCUAGCCCAGCUUUCUUCAUCAAGUGCCACGUCCCGUGAUGUCCCGGGAUGAAGAAGGGCUCCCUCUCACAGUGUCUCCCUCUGGUGUCCAUAAGGCGAGAGGUGGAGAGGGCUUUCUUGGUUGAGCAGGUGGUCUCAGAUGUCCUAUUUGGCAAAUGGGGGGCAUACGCUCAUCUCCCAGAAUUUCUAUGAAGGUUCAAUGAAAUCUUGAUGAUGUGAAAAUUCUGGGAGUCCAGCCAAGGACAGCAUCCAAGGUAGUUGCUUACCAGAGUGUGUGUGCAUUUUCUGUUUGUGUAUCUGCACACCUCUGGGGGUGGAAGUCCCUGCUGGGCGGCACGUCCACAGGCCCACGAAAACCUCCCAGACAGCGGGGCAGCUUCCACCGUGGCCACCUGGGAAGGCCCCGUGUCUGCUUCCUCCUUGUGGGUGGAGGGAGGGGGAAAGCGUUUCUUUUUUGUUUUGUAAUUCAGCAAGCCAGCCCUGCUUCCCAGGCCUCCCACCACACUUUCUGCCACCUUCUCUGACCUACCUGACUAGGAAGUCAUCCUUCUUUCUUUGAGCAUUUUUUGGAUUAAAAAAAACAAAAACAAUAAAACUGGCCAUUCCCGACAAGCAAUCCUCUUGUUUAUUGAUUUGCCCUGUCAGGUUCUUUUAUGCAGACAUACAUUUAAGAUAAAACUUCAGUCUCUCCUUUCAUGACAAUCAAUAAUGCAUUGUGCUUUCUGGAGCAUUCCUGUGUCCAUGUGAGAUCUGUGCUGGCUCUUGG
rnacentral:lncRNA from 1 species